AAAAAUAAUUAAAAGUAAAUGUGUACUAUUUCGAAAAUGUUUAGAACUACCGCAUGUAUUUGCUUCUCUAUGUUUUUAUUAACGGCAAAUGCAGAUAGAUUAUUUGGUAAUAGAAAAAAGGAUGCCGAAAAAAUUUUAGAUAGAGCUUUGGAUCUAUUAAUUCACGAAGAUGGGCCCAUUUACUCACAACACGGUGUAGAUGCGGUAUACAAAUUCGUACCCAGUAUUAUUUACACUUUUGAUAUCCGGGUCGAAGAUUGGAGACAUGACCCCAAGAAAUGUACGGUGACGAUUUCAUAUAAAUAUGGUGAUAUAAAUACUUUCGUAAAUAUAAAGUGUGAUCAAGAUGAAGAGAUUAAUAGAAUUGUAAGCCAGAAGAUUUUCGUGAACCCAAUUAUAUAAUAACAUAAAAUCUUUAAUUACUUUUCUUUUAACAUGGACCUUUUUAAACAUGUAUCGAAUUGUUUUAUUUAAUAAACAUUUCAA